GAGAGAGAGAGAGAGAGAGAGAGAGAGAGAGAGAGAGAGAGAGAGAGAGAGAGGCUGGUAAGCUUAUAAUAAGCAAAAAGGAAAGUGAGAGGGAAUCAGUACGUGAAUCUGAUACAAUGUUUUCAAUCGUUUAUUUUGUUUUUCUGAUCUCUUGCUCAGCCCUAGCAGAGAGUGAAAAUGAAGCUCUUUCAGUUUGGUGGGAGCCAGAGAUGCCUUCACAUUCUGAAAACUUACACAGUUUCACGGACGGCUAUGGAAAUGACUUAUCAAGAAAGCGGCCGAACAUCAUCUUCUGUUGCGUAUGCCAAGAGGCUGUAAGACGAGCUAGGACAGCAGUUAAUCAAAAGAUUUCAAAGAAGAUAAACAAUGUCUGUUACAAAUUCAUAGAGGGUUUUCGAAAGAUCUGCUUGCAGCGUGCAGGGAGAUAUCGGGACAUCAUACUGCACAAACUCUUCCCUGGUGGGAGUGCAAGGGGCACAUGUUUGAAGAUAAAGUUAUGCUAACAACUGUGACAAUGGCUGUAGAAGGGAUACAUUUACAUUGACUGUUACUAGCUAACUUCACUGUAAUCUGUUUUUUAAAUGAUCAAAGCUGUUUUUCAUUAUUUGAGAGAAAAUUGUUAGUUGAAUAUCAGUCCAGCCAUGUGUAUUUUCAAUGUGCAUACACAUUUUUUUGUCAUCAACUUGAAUGUUUGCCAUCUAUAGAGUCUUCUGUUUUCCUUUAUGCUUUUCAGAAAAUCAAUAAAACAUGUGGUAAACGGACUCCCCUUGUGCGUUCUUUCUGCUAUUCUGUAGCCAACGGAUACAAAAAUUCCAUAAUGAGGACCUUUUUUCCUGGAGGUACUCCUAUAGCCACCUGCAGAGUGAUGAGGUUAUGUGAUUACAGAGAUGAUAAGAUCAACAAAUGCAGUUAAAAGUUAUGUUUAACCCCUUUAAAAUAUAAUCUAAUAGAUGGAUGUUUAUUGUACUGAAGAUGCUUUUUUUGCGGAUCCUGUGGUAUAAGAUUGCCUUAUGUUUUACAAAAAUUACACAUUAAAAAUCAAAUAAUAUUCAUGUGACUUUCUAUUUGGUUAUUUUCUGUUGAUAGUAAUAAUGCAUUUCAUUGUUUUUUCAUUAAAGUUGUUGUCUCUCCCCAAGACAUACCAAGCAGUAAUACCCAAUAAUUCACAUCAAUGCAGUUUAAAAAAUCAAUGUAAAAUAAACAAUUCUGUGAAAUAAAUAUUUUUUCAAAAGGUG